AAUCCACACUCCGAACACACCGUGUCCCCUGCCGAGUGGUCAAACACCACCUCCGUCUGUCGCUUGCAAUCCGAGCAGAACGCGUCCCCCAUUGAUCAAUAAUAAUAAUAAUAAUAAAUUAAAUUACGCUUAUAAUUAAAAACAAAAAAAAGAAAAUAUUUUUUCUUUCUUUUCUGCUCUGUUUCGAUUUCAAUUUUACAUAUUUUAUUAGGUUUUGCUGCUGUUCGAACCGAUAUUUGGAGGAAGAAGAAGAAAAGAUUGAGG
rnacentral:misc_RNA from 1 species